AGGAGUGGAGCCUGCGGCUUAAUUUGACUCAACACGGGAAACCUCACCAGGCCCGGACACCGGAAGGAUUGACAGAUUGAGAGCUCUUUCUUGAUUCGGUGGGUGGUGGUGCAUGGCCGUUCUUAGUUGGUGGAGCGAUUUGUCUGGUUAAUUCCGAUAACGAACGAGACUCUAGCCUGCUAACUAGGCGUAUUUUCGACAUCUCAAAGGCCCGCCGGCCCGGCGCGCGCCGCGGACGCGCGCGGUUUUUACUGUCGGCGUACAAUUUAUUCUUCUUAGAGGGACAGGCGGCUUCUAGCCGCACGAGAUUGAGCAAUAACAGGUCUGUGAUGCCCUUAGAUGUUCUGGGCCG
rnacentral:rRNA from 1 species